rnacentral:rRNA from 1 species
UCAACCUGAGAGUUUGAUUCUGGCUCAGAACGAACGCUGGCGGCAGGCUUAACACAUGCAAGUCGAACGCCCCGCAAGGGGAGUGGCAGACGGGUGAGUAACACGUGGGAACGUGCCCUAAGGUUUGGAAUAUUCCCGGG